AGAAGAAAAAAAAGCUCUGAACAUGUCCGAACAUCAGAAGGAACAAACUCCAGACACGCCAUCUUUAAGAACUGUAACACUCACUCACUGUGAGCGUCCCUGGCUUCAUUCUUGAAGUCAGUGAGACCAAGAACCCACCAAUUCCAGACACAGUUGGAAACAGGGUCUGCUAUAUUUGUGUUUGGAACUGGAGACCUGAACUUCAAAUCUGCCUCUGUUUGGCUGAGUGGCUUUGUAGUCAUGGUGACCUCUACAAACCUGAGAUUCUCAGUCUGAAAAAUGGGAGCUUUGCUUUGUGUUGUUACAUGCAGCGAAUCCGUCAAAA
rnacentral:lncRNA from 1 species